CGUUGCUAUUUGAUUGCGCGGGUAUUUUCUAAAUUUUGGCACCAGGAGCCCGCGCGGCCGCGCAUUCAUUACUGCUUCCACUUCUCUUGGUCUUCCAUUCUCUCAGUAUCUCUUCUCUCUCUCUCUCUCUCUCUCUUUCUUGCUCACUGGUUAUCUACUCUGUUAUUCGUGCUCCACGCUAUUCAUUUCUUGGUGUCCAAGGAUUCACAAGAUAGUUAUGUUUUCAUCCGGUUUGUUGGAAGGAAUGGAAUCAGAGUAGGCCUUCUCCCUUGUAGAUUCUUCUCCCGUCAGUGGAAGCCAGGUUACGUGAUCAAGAGGAGUGGAAUCAGCUUGAAAGGAACAUAAGAGAAAGAGAUGAUGCAGUAGGAACACAAAAGUUAUCACUCAGCUUACUGUCACCUCAGUCUAGAGAAUCAAUCUCAAUGGAGAGAGAUGAGGAAGAGGACAUGCUGUGAGGAAGAGGACAGAGAGGGGAAAUGCUCUGCAAGGAGUAAGGAUGGUGAAUAUACAUACCCAUUUGACACAGACUCCCUUGAUGAUUUUGAUGAAAGAGAGCUAGAGGAUGGGAAGGAAGAUUCUAGUGUUAGGAAGUCAUUCAGCUAUGGAAAACUGGCAUUUGCUAAUUUUGCUGGGGGAUCAUUUUACUUUGACAAGAGGAUCAAUGGGGAUUAUAAGGACACUUGAUUUACUACAGCAACCACAAAUCAUAUGUGGGCUGCUUGCAUGUUGAGGACCCAGUGGCAUUAGUUGAUCAGUCCAGUUCAAAGCAAAGCAUCCUGGCUUGGAGGAAGAGGAAGCUGAGCUUCAGCUCUCCUAAGCCUAAAGGGGAGCCACUGUUGAAGAAAGCGUAUGCAGAAGAGGGUGGGGACGACAUUGAUUUUGACCGCAGGCAGCUUAGCUCAUCUGAUGAGUCCUUUUCUCUAGGGGUAAGCAUCCACCCUUAGGAAUGGAGAUUUUUCCAUAUUAUUUACAACAAUCAAAAACAAAUUACUGAACAUUCAAAAGUUGUUUUGAGCAUUCAAAAAUCAGAUUACAAUAAUUUUUUAUUUCCCAUUUUUAGUUAUGAAAUUAUUCAAACUUUUGAAUCCUAAGAAGCUAGCAAUCAUUUGACAGUGGCACAAGAUUGAUGAAUUGCAAAUUGCUCCUCAGUGACUGAAUUUGGGGAUGGCAAUUUUGUUGUGGGAAGCUGGGAACAUCCUUAUGUAUUUAUUCUUUUUGGCAGACCUAAGAUUAUGAUCCAAAGAAAAUGUCUUGAGUGUGUUGCACAUGUAUAUAAGCAAAUGUUCAGAUGCAACGAGGAUAAUUUUGUCAAUUCUCUUUUAUUGCUUUUUUGUAAUGAAAAUACUUGUGUAAAUGUGAAUAUUAAACAAAGAUUAUUAUGGAUAUUUUG